ACGUGGAAGGUUACCGUGAGAAAGUUAGCGAUAUGACCUCAGAAAUGAUCACGUUUCUUUCAUUCAAGACUUCUAAAGGCAAAACCUCUCAGCCUAUCGUUAAAAAACCUGGGGUUAAGUUUGUGCUACAUGGUGGAAAAAUCGUUGGGUUUCAUGGACGUUCGACCGACGUUCUACAUUCCCUAGGGGCCUAUGUUUCUUUGCCGUCCACUCCCAAAUUGCUUGGAAACUGGAUUAAGGUAGUAAUCACUUAGACCAACAUACAAAGAUCUCCCACAACUAUGUAUAUUGAAGGUUUUGUUUGUUAGCACCAAAAAUACUAAACCACGGACGCGAAAGAAAAAAAAAGAGAGGGAAAAAUUGGAAUUUAGAUAAUUAAUGACAGUUUUGCAAUUUAUAAUUUGAUUAAUUUUAUUUUACAAUUAUGGAAAUUUACUAAUCAGAAUAUAAAUCCUUUUAAAAAUAGCUAACAAAUAUUACUAAUUAAUUAUAAGGUGGAGCAAAAUGGAGAAGGCCCAGGGCUAAGAUGCUCACAUGGCAUAGCUCAAGUAGGCAACAAGAUUUACUCUUUUGGUGGUGAGCUCAUACCAAAUCAGCCCAUCGAUAAACACCUUUACGUCUUUGACCUCGAGACCCGGACUUGGUCCAUUGCUCCAGCCACCGGAGACGUUCCACACCUCUCUUGCUUAGGUGUCCGUAUGGUGUCAGUAGGAUCGACCCUCUAUACCUUUGGAGGCCGAGACUUUUCACGCCAAUACAACGGUUUCUACUCGUUUGACACGACAACAAACGAGUGGAAACUGCUAACUCCGGUGGAAGAAGGACCCACUCCUCGUAGUUUCCAUUCGAUGGCAGCGGAUGAGGAAAACGUUUACGUUUUCGGUGGAGUGGGUGCUAUGGAUCGAAUCAAGACACUAGACUCUUACAAUAUCGUUGACAAGACGUGGUUUCAUUGUUCGAAUCCAGGAGAUUCCUUUAGCAUAAGAGGAGGAGCAGGGCUCGAAGUGGUGCAAGGGAAAGUAUGGAUUGUGUAUGGAUUUAACGGAUGUGAAGUAGAUGAUGUUCAUUUCUACGAUCCUGCUGAAGACAAAUGGACACAAGUGGAAACAUUCGGUGUGAAGCCUAACGAAAGGAGUGUUUUCGCUAGUGCGGCUAUUGGGAAACACAUUGUGAUAUUUGGAGGUGAGAUUGCGAUGGAUCCACGAGCUCACGUAGGUCCGGGUCAAUUAAUCGAUGGGACUUUCGCGUUGGAUACAGAGACGUUGCAAUGGGAGAGGUUAGAUAAGUUUGAGGGGACUCCGAGUAGCAGAGGAUGGACCGCGUCCACGACUGGAACCAUUGAUGGUAAGAAAGGACUUGUGAUGCAUGGUGGUAAAGCUCCAACCAAUGACCGGUUUGAUGACCUCUUCUUUUACGGAAUUGACUCUGUCUGAUUAAGCGCGAUUUGAUCAUGACCGUUUGUGUUUUAUUUGUUUGUGUGUCUGUGUGUCUGUGUGAUGCAAUAAGGGAGGGAUCGUGAUACCUCUAUAUGAUCCUUCGUCAGCUUAUCCAUUUUAUUUUUUAUUUUCUAAAUGUAUCUUUUUGUUUUUUGUUUUCUGUUUUGUAUGUUUAAUGUUUCGUGGCUUGUUCAAUAAGAUGUUUAUUUUCCGAAUUUUUUUUGGGUAUGUUACGUUAUACUACAAACAAAAAUAUUAUGAUUUUGAUUUUCUCUAAAGAUGAAAUGAAUAGAACAAGAAGUCAGCAGAUAGGGUGGUUUCAUCUACUUUUGUGGUUGGUAAAUGUGGUUAGAAAAAUUUGCAUUGAAUUGUAAGUUUCUAUCCAUAAAAGAAACAAAAAAUUAAUGUAAUCAAGAGUGGAAAGUUACCAAUGGAUUAUAAAAAUCUUGCAAUUCUAAUAAAUCCUCAUGUCAACGGUACAGAUAAGAUAAGGGUAAGGGGCAAACAAUCUUGUUGGUUCAAAUGGCAAGUAAACAAGGGCAAUUAUAUCCACCUAAUCCAUUGCGUUUUCUUUCUCUAAUCUUAGAAUCUACUUUAAUUGUAUGUUUUUCUCUUUCAUCUACUUUCCAAAACUAUAUAACCUCAUUUCUAUACUUUUUAUGCAUUUAUUUUGAAACCCCUUUAUCAAAAAAAAAAAAGGGGCCAAUUUUUCUUCAAAAAUGGUUACUUUAAGAUUCUCAUAUACAGUGUGCCAAAAAAAAAAAAGGUACCUAAAAUAUUUAUUAUUUCAGAUAUUGGUCAACAUAUUAUCUGUAACAGAAAAAUGUUCACGUGAUAUUUGCGAAUCACAUUUUUCUAGGGGCAAAAGUGAUAUAUGAGAAUCUUAAAGUAACCUUUUCUAGAAUAAUUGCCCUUGUUUACUUGCCACUGUAGUCAUUUAUUUAAUUUAUGUUCAAAAACAGAUUACCUACCUAAUUCACCGAAACGAAAAAUUUUGUUGCCAGUUUUUGUUUUUUUUAAUUUUUUUUUUCCUCUUUUUAGUUUACCUUCUCUUUUUUCUGUUCAACAUUAAACUAGAAGGUAGAGUAAUAAAUAACGAUGGAUGGAUGUGUUGAAAACGCGCUUUAUGCAUGAUUCAUACGAGAGCAGCUGAGGAGGAGACAAAAAACGGGUCUACACUAUAUCAGACUUUUUUUUGUUUUUUUGGUGUAAAACUAUAUCAGAUGGAAAAAUAUCAACCAAAUAAUGUAGAAACUAUAUCAAACUUUUAACAAAACUAUCAACCCAAUAUUUUAUAUUUUAUUAAAAAACAAUACUAAUAAUUUUUCCUUUUCCUCGUUUUUUUUUUUCUGAUCAACCAUUCACACGUUGUUUUUCGUAAUUAUGAUUCUGCAUAAUGCUUUCUCUAAAUCAAAAACUCCACGCCACGGUUCAACUGAUGUAGUGCCUCCACCGUUGUCGUUUGACUCGUUGCAGAGGACACCAUUAUGCACUUCGAUUCAUUUUCAAAAUCGUCUUUCUCUACUGAAUUGUUACUCCAUUUAAUUUUUUGGUCCAUAGAUAACAUAGACCAUUAUACUAGUAUGUUAAAUGUAUACUUAUCAGUUACCGCACAACAUUAAUUCUUAAAGAGGGUUCAUUUUCGAGAAUUGAGUACAACACUACCAUUAGGCCAAAAUGCGAGAGGCAAAAAAAGAUAUAGCAUAUACUUAUCAUGAAUAAUGAAAAUCUUUUCCAUCCAAAUAAAAAUCUUUCUUCUCAUAAAAGAAAGAAGAGAAAAAACAAUGAGUUUGCAUAUCUUUAUCCUGUAGAAUGAUAAUCUUCCCCAUCAACUACUGUAGAUCGUCAACGUGUACUCACUUCCAUUAUCGAUCGAAUCAUCAAUUUAAUGCCUCGUGAAUCACGAGAUCAUAUAAUAUGACAAGAAAUUCGUCCCGUUUAUCUACUGCUGGUCAAUAAAUACUCAUGCAAUUCCCACCAAUAGAUCACUCAACCAAUUUCUUCUCAGGUUCUCUCUUCACACCUCUCCCCUUCUCUAUGAUUAUAGAUAGUAUAUGAUUUGGUUAAAUUAUCUAUAUUUCUUUUUUGAUAAAGGAUUUGGUUAAAUUUUUAAUUGCAGGUAAUACUCGUAAGAUUUAUCAACACAAGCAAAAAAGAUGGCCCAAAAGCUAGAAGCAAAGGGUGGUGAGAUGGGAGAUGUAUGGGAUGAUGGUGUUUACGAAAAUGUUAGAAAGGUAUAUGUAGGGCAAGCACAAUACGGUAUAGCCUUCGUCAAGUUUGAGUAUGUCAAUGGUUCUCAAGUGGUUGUUGGAGAUGAACAUGGAAAGAAGACAGAGCUAGGAGUUGAAGAGGUACUAAAAUAGAUUUUUUUUUUUUUUUUUUUUUUUUUUUUUUUUUAGUCAAAAGGUACUAAAAUAGAUUUAUAUGUUGUGAUUGAUCAAGAGGUAGGGUCUUUUUUUUUUUUGUUGCUUUCCGCAUUGAAAAUUGCUUGGUUUCUUUGCAGUUUGAGAUUGAUGCGGAUGACUACAUCGUAUACGUGGAAGGUUACCGUGAGAAAGUUAACGAUAUGACGUCAGAAAUGAUCACGUUUCUUUCUAUUAAGACUUUUAAAGGCAAAACCUCUCAUCCUAUCGAAAAAAGACCUGGGGUUAAGUUUGUGCUACAUGGUGGAAAAAUCGUUGGGUUUCACGGACGUUCAACAGAUGUUUUACACUCCCUUGGGGCCUAUGUUUCUUUGUCAU
rnacentral:lncRNA from 1 species